rnacentral:rRNA from 1 species
AGAGUUUGAUCCUGGCUCAGGAUGAACGCUAGCGGCGUGGAUAAGGCAAGCAAGUCGAACGCCCCAGCAAUGGGGAGUGGCAAACGGGUGAGUAAAACAUUGGUACCUACCUUGAAGUUUGGGAUAACAUCGAGAAAUUGAUGCUAAUACCAAAUGGUCCCGCAAGGGUAAAGAUUUAUCGCUUCAAGAAGGGCCGAUGCACUAUCAGCUUGUUGGUGAGGUAAUGGCCCACCAAGGCUAUGACGGUUAGGAGGCUCGAGAGGGUAUUCUCCCACAUUGGCACUGAGACACUGGCCAAACUCCUACGGGAGGCUGCAGUCGAGAAUCUUCGUCAAUGCACGAAAGUGUGAACGAGCGACGCCGCGUGAGCGAUGAAGCCCUUCGGGGUGUAAAGCUCUUUUAUUAGGGAAAAACGUUGAUGUACCUA